rnacentral:rRNA from 1 species
GCGUUGUCCGGAUUUACUGGGCGUAAAGCGCGCGCAGGCGGCAAGUCAAGUGUGCAGUAAAAUCUCCCUGCUCAACGGGGAGGGCGCUGUGUAGACUGGCUAGCUAGAGGUCGGUAGAGGGUGGUGGAAUUGCUGGUGUAGCGGUGAAAUGCGUAGAGAUCAGCAGGAACACCCGUGGCGAAGGCGGCCACCUGGGCCGUACCUGACGCUGAGGCGCGAAGGCUAG